CCCUUAGAUGUUCUGGGCCGCACGCGCGCUACACUGAUGCAUUCAACGAGCCUAUCCUUGACCGACAGGUCCGGGUAAUCUUUGAAUCUGCUUCGUGACGGGGAUAGAUUAUUGCAAUUAUUAAUCUUCAACGAGGAAUGCCUAGUAGGCGCAAGUCAUCAGCUUGCGUCGAUUACGUCCCUGCCCUUUGUACACACCGCCCGUCGCUCCUACCGAUUGGGUGUGCUGGUGAAAUGUUCGGAUCGGCCGUUUGUCGCGGUUUCCGCGUCAUGUGGCUGAGAAGUUCAUUAAACCCUCCCACCUAGAGGAAGGAGAAGUCGUAACA
rnacentral:rRNA from 1 species